rfam:Myotis lucifugus cont2.5234, whole genome shotgun sequence.
CACGCACCAGUGGGGUCCCUCAGCUUGGCCUGCGCCCUCUCACAAUCCAGGACCCCUCAGGGGAUGUCAGAGAGCUGGUUUAAGCCCAAUCCUGCAGGCCAGGCUGAGGGACCCCACUGGUGCACG